UAAUCAGGGUGCCGCAGCCCCGCUGGGUCCCCUGGGUACAGUAGCAGGGGAGGAGGGUGCAGGCUCUCCAAGAUCCUAUUUCAGGCAGGCUGAGAGACAAGACUUUUUUUUUUUUGGCCACAGGAAGAAUGUUCCCUCCAACAGAACUGCUCAUCAGGCAAGAGGAAGGGAGGAUGGCAGGGCCAGCGGUGGUGACGGGUGGCUUUCCAGCAGCCUCUUCCCCUCUUCCUUCAUCCUUCAGGUCCAGGGAGCCAUCUGUUCCUGCAUCCCUGCUCGCGUUUCCUUCUCUGACCUCCUUUCCUCUUCGUUGGCCUUAAAGGUGAGCAAGGCUGGCUGUAAUUGUCCUGCUACACCAUCCCUCCACUGGGAAGUGGCCCUCUUCCGAGAGUGCAUCGGGUCCCAUACACCUGCCUGCUGGGAAGCACAAGCCACAGAACUCAUCUCUCUUUUGGCCUAUCAGAUACAGCUGAAGGUGUUUGGCUGAUGCUCCGGCAAUUUGGUGUGUUCAUUGUACGCUCUCAGGUCAGAGCUUGGCUCACCAUUUCUUUGUUCCCCUGGCAGGUGGUGCCUGGCAGCCACAGUAUCAUAGCUCCUUUCCCUCCCUCCCCACUCUCCCCCACCAUGUAAGUCCUUCAAGGGAGGAUAAAUGGAGGAGAGGUAGGGUCUGGGCAGACACGGUGGCAUUCCCACGGCAUAGCUGGAAGGUUCUCAGAACAGAGUUUUCCUGUCAAAAUCAGUGUAGUGGGCUGAAUAAUGGCCACAAAGAUAUCAGGUCCUAAUCCCUGAAAUCAGUAAAUGUUAUAUUAUUGGGGGGAAAAAUGCCUUUGCAGCUGUGAUUAAGUUACAGAUCUCAUCUUGGAGUAUCCAGGUGAGCCCUAAAUGCUGUCACAAGUACCCCUAUAAGAGGGAGGCAGAGGGGGAUUAGACACAGAAAGGAGAAGGCCAAGUGACCGAAAGGUCAGAGAGAUGUGGCCACAAGCCAAAGAAAGCCAGCGGCCACCAGAAGCUGGAAGAGGCAAGGAGCAGGGUCUCCCCCAGUGCCUCCGUCAGGAGUGGGCCCCACCGACAUCUUGAUUUUGACUUUGUGAUGUUGGUUUCAGACUUGGUGACUUCAGAAUUGUGAGAGAAUAAAUUUCUGUUGUUUUAAAGCACCAACUGUGUGGUAAUCUGUUACAGCAGGCCAGAGAAACUGAUACAGCCUACAAGGAGGAUGGAAGAAGUGAUCACUGAAAGACGGUUUCUAGGCUCUGCUUUGCAGAGUAGUUGGCUGGAAUGCCGUAAGCCAACCUUGGCCUCCAGCUCUUUUGAUUCAGACAUUCAGUUUGAGCAAUUCACUGAGGAUUGACUGGAUUCCGAGCCUCUGAGUAGUCUCAAGGCAGGAUUCUGUACCAGAAUAUUCCAGUUUUUAGAUUUGCUCCAGGCAAGUGAUCAUAGUUCUGGGGGUGACAUCGCCAACCUAGGUGGCUCUCUCCAGGAGACCAUAUUAUAGUUUGGAAUUUUGCUUGGUGAGCCCAGAACCAGAGAAGUACCUAGGAAGAAUCGUGAACUUAGUGAGACCUGAGGUCCCUCCCAGCACCCCACAAAGUAUAGAAGCCGCCUUCACUUUUACCCAUGAAGGCUGUAGGUCCAGAGCAAUCUCUUUCCUUAUUUUGUGUCCAGGGAAAACCUGACGCUCCCAAGUGGUCAGGGAGUUUAGAACAUAUCAUGUGAUAUCAUUUGUGGCAAGGAUACAAAUGGUUGGGCAGAAGCUGCCCUGAAAGCAUCUGGAAGCUCCCAAUCAAUUAGACUGACAUCUGGGUACCCACCUGCUACGCCACAGUAAGCCAACAAAUAUUUAUGGGGC
ensembl:lincRNA